UUUUUUUUAUGUAUUUAUAGACUUCUUCAAAAAUGGUGAGGAAAUCGGGCAGUGUCCACGUAAUGGUGGCAGACGUUUUUUCUUCGUCGGUUUUAAACCGAUAGAUGCAAGUUAAUUCGAGAUCGCUACGAGCAUCGACCACUUUUUGCAUUUGAUCGGGAAUCAUCACUAGCCAUUUUGCGUGAAUUAUUAGAGGUUUAUUGAACACCGACAGACAACAUCUGCGCUAUGCCACUUUCGUAACGUUGUGGGGAGUGAAAUCAUCCGAGUAUUACAAAUACCUCAAAAUUUUCAGACUGAUAUAAAUCAACGAGUUAUGGGAAGAGGUUUACCACAUACAAUCGACGAUUUGGCAGAUGUUGAACAAUAGAUGUCUAACUAUUUCACCAUAUUCGAGUUCGACUAGAGGUUGUCGACUGGGGACGGAUGUGGGUUUUUAAUUUUGAGCAGUUUACAGACUGCUAAUCUGUUGUGCUCUGCACGCGUAAGUUCGCAUCUCAUCCUCGUCGAGCGUUUAAGUGGAUAAUUUUAUUUUGUUUCAACUUUUUUCGGUUUAAUUACUGAUUUGUACUCAUUAUUUUCUUGGUUUCGACUUUCUCAAGAUGUAUACUUUCGUAUGUUUCGCAGGGAUAUGCCGAAAUAUGCAUUUGUGUUAUUUAAAUCGCUCAAGCUAGGAUUCCUAUACUGUCUCACGUUUCAUUUCCCUAAUGUAGUUUAAUAAACUUAAUAAUGAUCUGGAAGAA